GACGAACGCUGGCGGCGUGCCUAAUACAUGCAAGUCGAACGAGAGCGACCGGUGCUUGCACUGGUCAAUCUAGUGGCGAACGGGUGAGUAACACGUGGGUAACCUGCCCAUCAGAGGGGGAUAACAUCCGGAAACGGAUGCUAAAACCGCAUAGGUCUUCGAGCCGCAUGGCUUGAAGAGGAAAAGAGGCGCAAGCUUCUGCUGAUGGAUGGACCCGCGGUGCAUUAGCUAGUUGGUGAGGUAACGGCUCACCAAGGCCGUGAUGCAUAGCCGGCCUGAGAGGGUGAUCGGCCACAUUGGGACUGAGACACGGCCCAAACUCCUACGGGAGGCAGCAGUAGGGAAUCUUCCGCAAUGGACGCAAGUCUGACGGAGCAACGCCGCGUGAGUGAAGAAGGUUUUCGGAUCGUAAAACUCUGUUGUUAGAGAAGAACAAGUGCUAGAGUAACUGUUAGCGCCUUGACGGUAUCUAACCAGAAAGCCACGGCUAACUACGUG
rnacentral:rRNA from 1 species